rnacentral:tRNA from 1 species
UCCAUGGUAGAUCAGUGGUAGAGAAUCUGCCUACUGUGCAGGAGACACAGGUUCAAUCCCUGAUCUGGGAA